UCUUAAGCUUUUCAGAGGAAUUUGCUCUUUAAUGGAUAAAACACCUUAACCUUACUUGGUCUAGUAAAAUUCAGUUUGUAUACCACUAUAAAAAUAAUAAUUUACUUUUAUUAUUAAAAUUCUUUUUUAGAUAAAAAUUAAGUCAAGGUGCAGCUUAAGGCUAAGAAUGAAGUGAAUUACAUUUCUUAAAAGAAAAGAAAAGUGAAACAAAAUAUUAGGAUUUGAUAGUAAAAUUAAAAUAAAAAGUUAAUUUGAAUUAAGCUCUAAGAUAU
rnacentral:rRNA from 1 species